UCUGCGCUGUUUUAGACUGUAGGCAAAUGCUAAAAUUGCCAAAACAAGGGGCUAAUUGGAAUAGCGUUGGCCACAGCGAUGACAGAAGGACAACAGAUUACUGGAGCCAAGUGGAUAUUCUCUAAUACGGAUUAUGACCAUAAAACACCGAAGCCACCAAAGAUUGAAAUCCUGCGAAACAAUUUUCUGAAGAAAUGAAGGAGCGUGGCCUCCUGAACCCCGGAGGAAAAUAACCCUGCGGUGCGAGGCGGAAUAUGAAACAGAGGCGCCAGAAUAAGUAAAAUAGACAAGUGCACCAGGCUUGUCACUUUUCCAUUUGCUGCCCCCGAGUGAGAGCAACUUGAAAUUCUCCUCAUCUCAGAUAAGACCUUCAUCGUUAUGCUCUAUCUACUGUACUGAAUACGAAAAAAGUACCACAUCAGGCAGAGGAUUCUCCAAAUUGGUCCUAUCGAAUGUGACAGGAGGAAGAGCAUUAAGCAUCUGACAAGAUGAUAUCUAAGUUCAAUUUCCUACUCCUCACCUGAUUUAUACCUGCAGCAGAUCAUUUUCUUUUCUGUCAUAAAGACCUCUAUAAAUCAGUGGUGCUUAUGGAAGCACUAGAGAACAAGGAAUGAGCAAGAGGUCCAGCAAGCUGUUGUGAGAAACUUGUGAAAGAAUGCAGAAGACACGUUUGACCCAUGUCUUGCAAUUUAAAAGGCAAUACCACCAAAUCCAUAAAGUGUCUUAUUCAAGGACAAACCGUGCAAUUCAAAAGUGAGGAAGGACAAGCUAUAUAAAGACAAAUGGUGUUGCCCAUCUCGUUGUGCGUCCAUGGUUCUGGGAAGGUGUAGGUUUGGGAGAGAGUGGGACAGCUGGAGCUGCAGGCGUUGGAAGAGACAGGGGGAAAAAAAAAAAAAAAAAAAAAGGGGAAGGAGCCUCCUCUCACUGUCGGGGCCUCCGCAGGUCAGUGCCUCUACCCAAAGGGACGGCAGAGCGAAACGCCAUCAAUUCACAAACAAAGGAGCCACUUCACCCACCACAAAGGAAACAUAUGUGAUAGAGCCGACUCCCGAGCCGCAGCUCACUUUAACAUGUCAGCCUCUCCUAAUUAGCUUUGUUAACUCCCUCUGCUGUCUGCCCAACUGAGGCCUCUUCCAGUCACACGGCUGCUUUGUGUUUACAAGGGCAAAUGUUUGGACCUGCUCCCGAAACAACACUGUAAGAUUUUUAAUCCUUCCUAAAACAAAACAUGCGCAGACCAUCACCUGAACAAUUAUCAUGUAACACACGGGCUCCGAUGAGUCGGUAUUGAUAUAUUGAUCACUAUUGUGCAAACAAGCAAAGCGUUUGUACGGUUUCACCGCAGAGAUUUACAUAGCCGUCUCUUCACCGCGUGUCUGAGACGAGUUGUGUUAGAUGAAAACAGCUGCUCCUCAAUCUUUAUCAGAAUGUUUUGGAGUCAUUACUGGCCAGCCUUCAGACUGUGGGCUGCCAUGCGUUACAUGUUGCAGUCCGCACUGGGCCUCAUGUGACCCCUGCUGCUUACCCACUGGCAGUGCAAUUUAACCAAGCUGAUGACAUGCAGCAUGACAUCCCUCAGAGAAGCGUCCCACUCACUGCCUCGUUUGGGGGAAUCAGAUGGAGAGGUGUGGGGGGGUAUGGGGGCACGGCAUGGUGGGGUGUGUGAACCUCUGGGUAACUGGCUGACCUCUCUGGCGAGAAAAUCAAAAUGCUCUUUGAUUUGAGAGAUAUGUGUUUGUUUUGUGUCAUUUUUUUCAAGCGUAUGGCUCAGGAAAAUUGAAGGAGGAUAAAUGUAAAAAUUUUCCAGCGUAAAAUUAAUUUGGCAUCUUCUAUACUCCAUAGAUUGUGAGUGAAUAUCAUUAUCAUAAGCCGA